rnacentral:rRNA from 1 species
UCCAGACUCCUACGGGAGGCAGCAGUGGGGAAUAUUGCACAAUGGGGGAAACCCUGAUGCAGCGGCGCCGCGUGAGCGAAGAAGUCUUUCGGUAUGUAAAGCCCUCUCAGCAGGGAAGAAAUUGACGGUACCUGAGUAAGAAGCCCCGGCUAACUACGUGCCAGCAGCCGCGGUAAUACGUAGGGGGCAAGCGUUAUCCGGAUUCACUGGGUGUAAAGGGAGCGUAGACGGCGACGCAAGUCUGGAGUGAAAGCCCGGGGCCCAACCCCGGGACUGCUCUGGAAACUGCGGCGCUGGAGUACGGGAGGGGCAGGCGGAAUUCCUGGUGUAGCGGUGAAAUGCGUAGAUAUCAGGAGGAACACCGGCGGCGAAGGCGGCCUGCUGGACCGUGACUGACGUUGAGGCUCGAGAGCGUGGGGAGCAAACAGGAUUAGAUACCCCUGUA